CUGUAGCUUUAGUGACAGGCAGGAUUAAUGGCACAGAUUAUCCAUGACUGGUGGCUAAAAAGGUGAAAGAAAGGCUGAGUGCAUCUAAUGGGCUGGGUCAUUGCUACAGGAAGCGGUACAUGGCUAUGUAAAAAAGCUGGAUGUGACAUGACUGCAUCAUCUCCCACUUUCUUCCUUGGGCUGUUUUGCCCUUUCCAGUCAGGUCUAGCGUAUCCUACUCAAUAGCCCUAUUGAUUUUUUUUUUAUUAUUUUUUCCUUUUCUGGUGUAAUAACUUGCACAGUAAGGCACAACGCAGCCUGAACAGGGGUCUGUGUGACCCGAGUAGGGCAUCACACGCAGCCCUGCCUGUGAACGGAGAACGUGUGCAGUGGGCUGAGUGGUGAUGGAAAGUGGUGGGGCAGGGGGAGAAGGGACACUAGGGAAAUGGAAGACUGGAGAAAGGAAAUCGAAGAAAGAUGUGUGUGUCAGCUGAACUGCUGAAGCCAAACCAAGCACUAAGCUGGGCAAUGGGCCAGCGCAUGGCUUAUCCAUGCCUCCGUGUCAGUAUUAGAGUAUUUUUGCAGAGAAAAGACCAAACUCUCAGGUGAAACUUCAUAUUAUCGGAGAUGAAGUUAGGCAAAGCACCAUAAUGCUGGAGAGUUCUGCAAAUUGUCCAGCAGCAAUUUCCGCUGCUGUGCAGGAUUAUUCAGGUAUCAUCUGGCCCAAUGGCUCAGUAAUGAGUAGAAGAGCUUUCAAUGGUGAAGAAGGACUUUGAACACCUUUCCUGUCCCCAUGAAAGAUGGACCAGUCUCAGAGGGGAGAGUGGGUGGGAGCUGCUCAUGGUGUGUGGUCAUACCCUGACUGUGAGGACAGGUUACCCAGCACCCAUCAUUGCAACUUGAUUUCCCACAUCAGAAGAACAAUGAACUUUCCUGUUUCGAUCUAUGCAGACUUGUCCUUCCUAAGUGCAUGCCGAGUGUGGGCUUAUUUGAUGUUUCUGCCUGGGACCCCAGUAUUUACCUAAUAUCUGUCAGUCCCCCUUAUCCCACUUUUUCCCUUCUGCCUCUUAAGCUCCUUUCCUGGCCUCCUAUCAGUCACCUGGUUGAGUGACAAGGACUCAAUUGCUACUGCUAGGGAUUACCAAAUGUCCUCUGUAAUACAGGUUUCACUGCACAGCUUCAGUCCAAUCUUGCCAAAAGCUAAUGCGAUAGUCUUCUCCUGGAAAUAACCAAUGGCUGGACGUUCAGAGAAGUGCCCGUUGCAGAUAAGCUACAGUGCGCCCAGGCUUGCUUGCUGUGAGUGUGGGUGGGUGCAGAUUGAAGCCUGCCCAGCUGUUCCAGGACUGUUGCAGCUCCAGAUGGGCCAAAGACACCAAACUGCAGCGUUGCACAGCCUUGUCCUGCUGUAGUGCCCGGACAGCCCCUGGCAGCACACAGCUCCCUUGCCCUGCAUCCAUAUUGCCAUGUUCCCGGUUCUUCCCACUGCGCUGAGACCAACUCCAGCUUAGAGAGGUUACUCAAGAGAAUUUCACAGUCAGACAAGUAGAAAAGAGCUGUGCUGAAAAAGGAGUCCUUUCUAAGCUUGGAGCCGCGCGGGGAAGCGGCGCAGUCAGAGGCCGCUCUGCGCAACGGGGGCUGGUCCUGCCUGGCCGAGGAGCGGUGUGCCAGAAGCACUGGGGCACUGAAACAAGCUGCCAGCUCCCUUCGUGGUCCCCUUGAGGAUGUUUUGCUGUUAUGAAUAGAAUUACAGAUGGGUUGAGGAUUUACUUCUCCGUUGUUUGGUAUCGUGCUGGCGGCCCUACAUCUGCAGCAUUGUGUGCGAAGUUCAAACCCCCCUGAGCCUGAGGCCGAGUGCUACACCGAAAUGUUCAAUCCUGCAUUUGAAUAAGCUGAAUAAAUCCAGCCAUACUGCUAAACAUAUGCAGGAACAUUUUUUACAUAAAUGAACAUUGCCCUGCAGGAUUUGCAAUCCAGAUGUUACCGCUUUAUGUUAAUGAAAAAGGACCCUGAAGUAAAUUGACUAUAAGGCCUCCCUCUAUUUCAAGAGGGCUAACUUUGGCUUCUGUUUACCCAUCCUACCGGGUUGCACAAGGGAGAUUGACUGCUGAACCGCCUCAACUGCUAUAUUUUUUUGUGUUAGAAAAAUAGCCAUUUCUAAAGUGUUUCCUGAAGUUGAGCCCCUGUGGUAAUGUAACUUCUUCCACAUAUUAUGGUAGAUGUAUUUCAGUAGGUCUGGAGGGGUCUCAGAGUGACAGCUCUUAAUGCACUGUGGUAGUGUCCUAUACUAACUGGGUCUUAAAUUUAUAGACAAACCUCUAAUUCUGUUUUCUUUGUGUUUAGGAAGCGAAUACGGCAGUUUGAGUCAGGACAGAGCAGGAAUUACGGUGAUGGGUGACACGAUAAAGAGGUAAAAGUUGCAAAUUCAGUAAAGGACCAAAGAAAGCUCGUGACUCAGGAAGGGUCAGGUCUAAAGGCACAUUAAGGCACUUGAGCUAAUAUUUCUGAUGUGUGGGCAAAUCACCCUCGUGGGUUGGCAGGUGGAAGAUGGACCCCUCAUAGAGACCGUCAGCCCUCCAGGAGGAACGAGCAGAGGCUGAAGCUUCAAGUACUCGAAUGUAUUAAGCUGAGACUGAGGAUGUUGCUACUUGGGGGAGUGAGAUUUUGGCUGUGGGGGGCACAGCUGACAGUUCAGUGCUGCUGUCUCACAGCACUGGGAGCAGCAAGGAGGUCGUGACUAAGGACCUGCUUCAUGGAGCAAUGCAAGAUGGAUUAAGCAGGGGAAGGACUGGUCAACUGUAAGAGCUCAUGGUGCUAGAAAUGAAAGAGAAAAUCGUAAUUGCAAAUAGCAGGUGAAAGCAGUUGAAAUUAAUUAGGACUGCAGCAUGAGGUGAAGUUGCAGAAAGCUGCAUACCGUGCUGUACAUAACUGCUUGCUGAUUAUCACAAUCUCUUUGUUUUGUCCACAAUUCCUCGAGGCAAACUGUAGCCCCUUUGCUUGAGGAGUCAGAGGAACAAUCAGAUUUUGGCCUCGGAGAGAAAUCCUUGUUAACUUGAACAAGUAAAACAUCCAUGCUGCUUAUUCUAUGCUUUUCAUAUGCUUAUUGGCUGUUAGUUUAGCAUUUUACAAGUGAGGCCAAGAAGAGAUGAUAUUAUUUUCUCUUUUCACAUUUUUUUUCUAUGAAUUUAUUCUUCACAUCCUUGCUGCAACUAAGUUUCCCCCCUAUUGUUCUUGGUAUUGGCAUUAUACAUAGAUAAAACAAUUUAAGAGUGUAUUUUUCCUAGUUAGGCAUAGCAGAGAUAUGAUAUACCAUAGGCACAUGUGUCAACAUGAUGCCCCUGCCUGUCUUUAUUUUCUCAGUUCGCUUGUGGUCCAUUUAAAAUUAGAUUACGACUGAUUGGUUCCUGCAUUCAAACUACUUUGCACGACACUCCAUCCACAGGCGUAUAAAACAAAACUGAGGUGACUGGAAAGCCUAAGGGAUCAAUUCCAAAUAUCACUGUGUAAUAAAAACUGUAUUUCCUUAAUUUUUUAUUGAUUCAGCUCUCAUUCUCCUGUAAUGCUGCUGCGGUAAUAUUAAAACUCAGUGACUGACAGUGCCGUCCCAUAGAAGUGAUUUAAAUAGCAGUACCAGGGAAGAAAGCAGGCUUUGCUUUUGCAACAAUUUUGCUCAAACUGGCCCAGAGGAUCUCCCUUGCAGGGAGGGAAUAGGCUGUGCACCUUUUCCGCUUUGAAAUAUAUCAUCUGUAUUUCUUCCAGCCCCGUGCUAUGCCUGUGAAGCCAGCAGGAUGCCCGCUGUUGGCACGGCUGGGUGCAGCCUGCAGGCUUUAAAAGCAAGUAUGAAUAUUUGGGUUGUAGGUGGGAACGGCUUAUUUGUGUAGGGUACAGAACUGAUGCUUGUUCAAAUGCAAACCCCAGACUAUUCUUCAUGUGAUCCACCAUACAAAACAAAGGAAAAGAGCAUUCCUGUGAAAGGGAAGGAAUUCAGCUAAUUAAUAGUCACAAAAUGUGUGCCACUUACAGAUGGGAAUUUCAAAGGACCUUAUGAGGUUUGGAUUCACAGAGCCAGUCAGUGAAGCGGGAGCUGGGCAUGGGAGUCCCUCAAAGGGCCCAGGAGUCCUUGCCUGCCCAUGGAAAAUGGGAUGGAGAUUUUGUUACAUGCUGUGAACCUCCAGAGUCUGCAACACUGUGCUGAUGAGAGGCGUUUCUCAGUCUCUGCUGCCCAUGAGGCAUUUGGCUGGGGAAGCAGGGUAUUCACAGCACUCUGGCAUGGGUUUCUGCUCCCUGCGGGCAUGCACGAAUAAAGGAUAAUGCUAAAAAUGAAAUAAAACUUGAAAGUAGAUAUAUGGGAGCUCCUGAGGCUGCUGGAUAGUAACUGGUUUCUCUGUCAAGAUGGGUUAAUCUGUUCUCAUAAGCAUCCCAGAACCAUAAAAAAGCCAUGGCCCAGAGUCUGUUUCUGGACUGGGGCAAUCUUAAUGGAAACAGUCUCCUGCAGGAGUUCCCCAAGGUCUGGCAGAGACAAUAUUUCAUGUUGGGGUAGGUAUAAAUCUGCAAGAUGUUUGUGGUCCAAAACUUGGAAACAAAAGCCAGGGCAAGUUUGAUCAAAAUUGUCCCAGUUGAGAUGUGCUAACCAGAAUGAUUCACAGAAACUAAACUGUGAUUAAUGGGCACGUCUGAAGUAAACCAAAACUGUUCAGUGGCAAUUUGUGGAAGAGGACAGUGGCGGAGCCUUGGCAGAGGCUGGGUGCUAGGAGCAAAGCUGAAGGCCUUCUCCCUUGGCUCAGCCUGAUUAAAAAGCAAAUCAAACCCACCCCUAAAAAAAACAAGCAUCUGUGGUCUCAUCCAAAACCAGCAUCUCUGCACCCAAGAGGGGAAGUGACACCCACUUUGCCACUAAGUGGCCAUUUCAUUUGCUCUGCAAACUCUGUGCUUGCAGUUGAUAUCAGAUACUAAUUAAAAGAGUGAAAAAAAGGUGGCUCAGACCUCGGCUGAGUGGCAUGAACAGCCCCUUGAGCCGCAGAGGCACGUGAGCAUCUUUGCUUCCGUGCAGGGUGGGUGGGAGCUGGCAGCGCUGCUGGCUCAGCCAGGAGCAGCGGGUGGAGGGGGGCAGAGCCCACGCCACCCUCCCUCACACCAGGGACGUCUCUCACCCCGGGCCCAGCAAGGGCUGAGUGCCCCGUCCCAUCAUCGCUUCCCAAAGCGGAGGGCUGGUUUCUCUCAACUUGUUUUCUGUUGACUGAAGUCAGGCAGUGGUAUUGUUCGGGUGCGAUACUGAAUGAAUAUUGAGUGUGCCUCUAAAAUAAAGUCAUUAUUUAGGAGCUCAUUAAAGUACCGGCCUUGAAAAAAUUUCCUACUGCUGAUAUCCUCUUCCAUCACUGUGUCAGGGAUGAGAGCUGGUUUAGAGAAAGGGCUGUGUGCUCCACAGCCGCCUCCCUCCUCUUACCUGGGGGGCUGCUGGGACCAGGGCUGGGAUACAACUUUUUUAAGCCUAGAGCUAAGAAAGCACCAGGUGUUAACAGGAGCUGCAAAUUGCUAAGUAACUCUGGCAAAUUCCCUCAGCACCCUCAUUUCCAGAAAAGACCCUGAGGCUAUUUUCUCUCUACUCCUUCCUUUAGCUAGCCGGGGUAUUGCUGCCUGCUGUGAAAGCACGCUUCUCCCUCUUGGUUUCCCGACCCGCUUUCCCCUUUCUCUCCUCAUGCUCCCGAGGUUCACCUCUUGCUGUGCCUGCAGGAUUUGCAAUGGGAAGGAAGAGAGCAGCCAUCGCCGUUCCCACUCUUCACCAUCCCGUGUGCUGGGAGGCGGCUGGAGCCCCAGGAGACGCUGUGGACCCCUGUCCCAUGGGGACACCUCUGAGCUUGCAGCUUGGGGCUGCCCACUUCCAGUUGCUUGAAGACCAGUGGGCUAAGCGCGAUCCUGGUGAGCGGAAGGACGUGUGUGAACUUGUACGCAAGUGGAAAAUGGGCAACGUUGAUGUGACUGACCUUCAGCAUUGAAGCCUGAUCAUUCCUGUCAUUUGAGAUGGCUAUGCAGGAAGAAAAGGUCAGUGGUGCACCUCUGAGCUGGAGAUGGUGAGAAAUCAGCUUUCUGCACAGCUUUCUUGGGCAAAUCCCCACCCGUGUGCAGGGGAGUGUGGCAUAUUUAUGUCUUGGACUUUUGCUGGUACUAGCAUGAGGUCCCAAAGGGGAAGGCAACUAGGUGGAGGAGUGGCUGUGGUGGAGUACGAACAUAGAUCAUUCAUUUAGAAAACAUCCUUUCCUAAUGGUAAUAUUUGGCUUAAUAAGCAGACAAGGCCUAUGAACAGUGAAUAUUUUCCUUUUAUGUUCUUCCACACAGGCAACGUGGAAAAAAAGGAGACUUAAACCUGCAUUGUCUACCCUACCCACAAUGCUCAUUGCCUCCAAUGGGAGUUUUGCUCAGGAAAUGCAAAACAGAGCUGGUAACUAUAUUUCCAUUUAUUCAAUAGUUCUGAGAUUGAAAACGAUAGACACUGGGCAAAAGAAAUAACAGGGGCAUCUCAUAUCCAUGUGUCGCUUCAUUAAACAUCUGAAAAUGGCAAUGAAAAAGCAGAGAUUGCAGAAUGAGAUUUCCAGACAGCAGGAUGAUAACAUAAAAGACUCUGUCCUCUGUUUGUACAAUACAUAUGUGUUCAGAAAAAUAAAGGCAGCAAACUAUCUUACUAUAUAAUAGACAAGGAUUUUCAAGGCUGUUAUUUUGGAUGCACGGGAAGUAGAAAACUGCUUUACACAAGAGUGUCACUUGUUAACUUUGGAUAUGUGAUAUGUGAAUGUAUAACUGAGAUAAAAAAUCAUGUGGUUUCUUC